UACGGAGGGGGCGAGCGUUAUCCGGAAUUAUUGGGCGUAAAGAGCUCGUAGGCGGUUUGUCGCGUCUGCCGUGAAAGUCCGGGGCUCAACUCCGGAUCUGCGGUGGGUACGGGCAGACUAGAGUGAUGUAGGGGGAGACUGGAAUUCCUGGUGUAGCGGUGAAAUGCGCAGGAUAUCAGGAGGAACACCGAUGGCGAAGGCAGGUCUCGUGGGCAUUAACUGACGCUGAGGAGCGAAAGCAUGGGGAGCGAGCAGG
rnacentral:rRNA from 1 species